UAUUUUCUUUUAUUUCUUCAUUGCUAUAAUAGGACG
rnacentral:antisense_RNA from 1 species